CCUACGGGUGGCAGCAGUGGGGAAUAUUGGACAAUGGGCGAAAGCCUGAUCCAGCCAUGCCGCGUGUGAAGAAGGCCUUCGGGUUGUAAAGCACUUUCAGUGGGGAAGAAAGCCUUGGGGCUAAUACCCUCGAGGAAGGACAUCACCCACAGAAGAAGCACCGGCUAACUCCGUGCCAGCAGCCGCGGUAAUACGGAGGGUGCGAGCGUUAAUCGGAAUUACUGGGCGUAAAGCGCGCGUAGGCGGUCUGAUAAGCCGGUUGUGAAAGCCCCGGGCUCAACCUGGGAACGGCAUCCGGAACUGUCAGGCUAGAGUGCAGGAGAGGAAGGUAGAAUUCCCGGUGUAGCGGUGAAAUGCGUAGAGAUCGGGAGGAAUACCAGUGGCGAAGGCGGCCUUCUGGACUGACACUGACGCUGAGGUGCGAAAGCGUGGGUAGCAAACAGGAUUAGAUACCCCGGUAGUC
rnacentral:rRNA from 1 species